UUCGUACUCUCUCCAUCCAAAAAUACUUGUCAUCCAAAUAGAUAAAAAUGAAUGUAUUUAGAAUUAAAAUACAUCUAGAUACAUUUUCUUUUAUCCAUUUUGAUGACAAAUAUUUCCGGACGGAGGGAGUAUUAC
rfam:Triticum aestivum genome assembly, contig: Triticum_aestivum_CS42_TGACv1_scaffold_405866_5BL